GGGAGGCUUUGAAGCGAGGACGCCAGUUCUUGUGGAGCCAACCUUGAAAUACCACCCUUUAAUGUUUGAUGUUCUAACGUAGACCCGUAAUCCGGGUUGCGGACAGUGUCUGGUGGGUAGUUUGACUGGGGCGGUCUCCUCCCAAAGAGUAACGGAGGAGCACGAAGGUUAGCUAAUCCUGGUCGGACAUCAGGAGGUUAGUGCAAAGGCAUAAGCUAGCUUGACUGCGAGAGUGACAGCUCGAGCAGGUGCGAAAGCAGGUCUUAGUGAUCCGGUGGUUCUGAAUGGAAGGGCCAUCGCUCAACGGAUAAAAGGUACUCCGGGGAUAACAGGCUGAUACCGCCCAAGAGUUCAUAUCGACGGCGGUGUUUGGCACCUCGAUGUCGGCUCAUCACAUCCUGGGGCUGAAGUAGGUCCCAAGGGUAUGGCUGUUCGCCAUUUAAAGUGGUACGCGAGCUGGGUUUAGAACGUCGUGAGACAGUUCGGUCCCUAUCUGCCGUGGGCGUUGGAAGAUUGAGAGGGGUUGCUCCUAGUACGAGAGGACCGGAGUGAACGCACCACUGGUGUACGGGUUGUGAUGCCAAUUGCAUUGCCCGGUAGCUAAGUGCGGAAGAGAUAACCGCUGAAAGCAUCUAAGCGGGAAACUUGCCUCGAGAUGAGUCUUCCCUGGGCACUAGAUGCCCCUGAAGGGCCGUUGAAGACGACGACGUAGAUAGGCUGGGUGUGUAAGCGUAGCGAUACGUUGAGCUAACCAGUACUAAUGACCCGAGAGGCUUAACCUUACAACACCGAAGGUGUUU
rnacentral:rRNA from 1 species